rnacentral:rRNA from 1 species
GGCCACAGCCAUAUCACCCUGCAGCCCAAGACCAGUUACUCACUGAAGCUAAGCAGGGCUGAGCCUGGUUAGUACCUGGAUGGGAGACCACUAGGGAACACUAGGUUGCUGUUGGAA